AGCAGUCGCCGCGGGAAAACGGAGGGUGCGAGCGUUAAUCGGAAUAACUGGGCGUAAAGGGCACGCAGGCGGUGACUUAAGUGAGGUGUGAAAGCCCCGGGCUUAACCUGGGAAUUGCAUUUCAUACUGGGUCGCUAGAGUACUUUAGGGAGGGGUAGAAUUCCACGUGUAGCGGUGAAAUGCGUAGAGAUGUGGAGGAAUACCGAAGGCGAAGGCAGCCCCUUGGGAAUGUACUGACGCUCAUGUGCGAAAGCGUGGGGAGCAAACAGGAUUAGAUACCCCUGUAGUCCCUGUCUCUUAUAC
rnacentral:rRNA from 1 species